rnacentral:rRNA from 1 species
UACGUAGGGUGCAAGCGUUGUCCGGAAUUAUUGGGCGUAAAGAGCUCGUAGGCGGUCUGUCGCGUCGGCUGUGAAAUCCCGAGGCUCAACCUCGGGUCUGCAGUCGAUACGGGCAAACUAGAGUAUUGCAGGGGAGACUGGAAUUCCUGGUGUAGCGGUGAAAUGCGCAGAUAUCAGGAGGAACACCGGUGGCGAAGGCGGGUCUCUGGGCCGACACUGACGCUGAGGAGCGAAAGCGUGGGGAGCGAACAGG